CUUUUGGAAUAAAUUAAUUAUCAUGCCAAAGAAAUGAGGGAUCCAUCAAAGAACCAAAAGGUCAGAAAGAUACUAUCCAUGGUCAGAGACAAAGUAUAGAGUCAGAAGGUCUGAGUAAAGCAUCAGCGUCAUAGUUUGGACUGGAGCUCUUAAAAGCUAGGCCCAAGGCACUGGCUCUGAACCAGAGAUAACAAGAGAGCAGGCAGGGAGAUGUGUUCCCCAGGAGUAUUUCCUGAAGGACUAGGACUACACACCAGACCUUCUGAUUUUUCAGUGAUAGCAGAUAACACCCCAGAAUCUGAACAAAAAGCAAGACCAGCCCAGGAUCAGAAAUAUUAGGCAGGGAGGUAAUCAU
rnacentral:lncRNA from 1 species